UACGUAGGGGGCAAGCGUUGUCCGGAAUUAUUGGGCGUAAAGCGCGCGCAGGCGGUCUUUUAAGUCUGGGGUUUAAACGUAGGGCUCAACCUUACGUCGCCUUGGAAACUGGGAGACUGGAGUGCAGGAGAGGGAAGCGGAAUUCCACGUGUAGCGGUGAAAUGCGUAGAGAUGUGGAGGAACACCAGUGGCGAAGGCGGCUUCCUGGCCUGUAACUGACGCUGAGGCGCGAAAGCGUGGGGAGCAAACAGG
rnacentral:misc_RNA from 1 species